rnacentral:rRNA from 1 species
GACGAACGCUGGCGGCGUGCUUAACACAUGCAAGUCGAACGGAAAGGCCCUGCUUUUGUGGUGUGCUCGAGUGGCGAACGGGUGAGUAACACGUGAGUAACCUGCCCUUGACUUUGGGAUAACUUCAGGAAACUGGGGCUAAUACCGGAUAGGAGCUCCUGCUGCAUGGUGGGGGUUGGAAAGUUUCGGCGGUUGGGGAUGGACUCGCGGCUUAUCAGCUUGUUGGUGGGGUAGUGGCUUACCAAGGCGUUGACGGGUAGCCGGCCUGAGAGGGUGACCGGCAACAUUGGGACUGAGAUACGGCCCAGACUCCUACGGGAGGCAGCAGUGGGGAAUAUUGCACAACGGGCGGAAGCCUGAUGCAGCAACGCCGCGUGCGGGAUGACGGCCUUCGGGUUGUAAACCGCUUUCGCCUGUGACGAAGCGUGAGUGACGGUAAUGGGUAAAGAAGCACCGGCUAACUACGUG